rnacentral:rRNA from 1 species
AACGAUGCGGUGAAUACGUUCCCGGGCCUUGUACACACCGCCCGUCACACCACGAAAGUUUGUUGUACCCGAAGUCGGUGCCUUAACCUCGCAAGAGGAGAGAGCCGCCCAAGGUAUGGCCGAUGAUUGGGGUGAAGUCGUAACAAGGUAGCCGUAGGGGAACCUGCGGCUGGAUCACCUCCUUUCUAGGAGAGAAGGGUCCUGGAUGAAGCGCUCCUAUUUAGUCUUGUGAAGGAUCCGAGUGGAAGCCGGGACCGG